rnacentral:rRNA from 1 species
UAGUCCAUGCCGUAAACGAUGAUUACUCGAUGUUGGCGAUACACUGUCAGCGUCCAAGCGAAAGCGUUAAGUAAUCCACCUGGGGAGUACGCUCGCAAGAUUGAAACUCAAAGGAAUUGACGGGGGCCCGCACAAGCGGAGGAACAUGUGGUUUAAUUCGAUGAUACGCGAGGAACCUUACCUGGGCUUAAAUGUAGAAUGCUUUUUGCCGAAAGGCAAUUUUCCUUCGGGACGUUUUACAAGGUGCUGCAUGGUUGUCGUCAGCUCGUGCCGUGAGGUGUCGGGUUAAGUCCCAUAACGAGCGCAACCCUUAUCAUUAGUUGCCAUCGGGUAAUGCCGGGGACUCUAAUGAGACUGCCAGUGUAAACUGUGAGGAAGGUGGGGAUGACGUCAAAUCAGCACGGCCCUUAUGUCCAGGGCUACACACGUGUUACAAUGGCCGAUACAAAGGGCAGCUACCUGGUGACAGGAUGCUAAUCUCGAAAGUCGGUCUCAGUUCGGAUCGAAGU